UCGUCCGGCAAUAGCAGGGUAUCGGUUUUGAAUACCGGAGCGCUAGGUUUCCAGCUCAUCCAGCGCAUCGAUUCCAGAUAAGGAAUGGGCGGAAGCGGCAGCAGGUUGCCAGACCUGUCGAGCGCCAGCUUGGGCGUGCUAUCCAUGCCCCAAGCGCCUAGCGGCGUAAGCAUGGUCGCCAAUGCGAUGGCGCCUGCGACAAUUCUGCGGAUACGG
rnacentral:misc_RNA from 1 species